AAUCAACGCUGGCGGCGUGCCUCAGACAUGCAAGUCGAACGCGAAAGUCCCCUUCGGGGGAUAAGCAGAGUGGCGUCCGGGUGAGUAACACGUAGGUAAUCUACCUUCGGGUGGGGAAUAACCCAGGGAAACUUGGGCUAAUACCGCAUAAUGCAGCGGCACCACAUGGUGACAGUUGUUAAAGCGGGGGAUCUUCGGAUCUCGCGCCUGAAGAGGAGCCUGCGGCAGAUUAGCUAGUUGGUAAGGUAAUGGCUUACCAAGGCGACGAUCUGUAGCCGGCCUGAGAGGGCGGUCGGCCACACUGACACUGACAUACGGGUCAGACUCCUACGGGAGGCAGCAGUCGGGAAUUUUGGGCAAUGGGCGAAAGCCUGACCCAGCAACGCCGCGUGAAGGCUGAAAUCCCUCGGGAUGUAAACUUCGCAAGAAUGGGAAGAAUUAGUAGGGGUUAAUACCCUCUAUGAUGACGGUACCAUUUGUAAGCUCCGGCUAACUCCGUGCCAGCCGCCGCU
rnacentral:rRNA from 1 species